rnacentral:lncRNA from 1 species
UUUUGAGAUCUUUUAACCAAGGAACUAGGUUUCGCUGUUGCUUCCUCAGCAACUUCCACCACAGUGACGUCCUUGUCAUAUACUACCUCUGCAUUUUUUACCAACCUCUUCGUUGUCUUCUUACUACUGCUUUUGCUCUUUUGGAGGGAAAACUCAUUAGCUUCUUUUGCUUUCAACCUAGUAAUAGGUUGUUUAGUAGAAGACUCAGGAAUGAUU